CCCGCCUCCCCCGUGCGCGCCGGGCUCCGGCGAGAGACGCGCUCUGCGCUGCAGGGACAGAGCCUGGCCACAGGGUCCCGGCCUGGGGCUCGGUCCCGGGGGAGCCGCUUUGGCCCUUUGAAUUCUCCCUUCAGAGCAGGAGAUUAAUUCACUAAGACCAGAAGUUGGGAAAGUACAUUGUUCCAGUGUCUUGUUCUUUGUCCACUGCAUUUAACUCCUGGAGUUUCACCAUCCAUGUCAGGACUGUUUACACAUACUCCAGCACACUUAGCAGAAGAAAUUUCCUGGGAAAGGAGAUAAAUUUGCUGUGGCAUGAGUUGGAAUCUGGGGAAGAAUGUGAAGAUACAGCCAUGGAAAGUUUCUAAUCCAUGACAGCACUUUGUCACACCCAAGACUGCUCAACAGAUUUUACUCAAUAAUCUCUUCUCAGCCACCUACUGGAAAGAUAGGAGGAGGAAGCAUGCCUAGGAGCUCUGAUCCUGUAUAAAGUGCACCAAUCUGGAAUUGUGGAGAGGAGAGAUGAGAAAAGAGCAGAAUCUGGACAGUUGAAAGAAGAAUUUUGAAUUUAGCCUGAUCUACACUAGAAAAUCAGCUACAUUUGAACGCAAUGAAGUGAUCUGUGAAGCCCUAUUAAAUGCUUGCUGUGACUGCUCUCUUGGUGCUUAUGGGCCAUGAAUUAAAAAAUAAACUACUUCGGCCUCUUUCCUUCCCCGCUCAUAGGUGAAGCGCUGCAUGUCUGCUGGAAGCAUCAAUUUAUUCUGCAAAAUGUAACCGUUUCUCUUUGACAACCAGAGUGAUCAGUUUCCUCCACUUGGACAGGAACUGGGCUGCCAACACCAGCUGCAGAUCUGACUACAGCAGAGUGUGUGGGGUGGCUUACCUUUAGAGGGAGAUGCUGUUGCACAUUUACUACUAAGACAUACUUGAAAUUACAUUUCAUAUCCUGUUAUCACCAACUGAGUUUGUUUUGCAAUCAAACACAAAAUAUUAGAAAUGUCUGUUUAGAUUGUAGUAAUAUCUUCAGUGCUGUCAUCUAAUUGAGUUAAUUUUGAAAUCUAGAAUAGGAUAACUUACUAUAACCUCACCUUUUUAAAGCCAAUUUCCAGAUAGCAUUUAGCACUAAGCGUUUGAAAGGUGCUGAAUACCUCCAAUUUAAAUAGUGUAAUUAUACGGAGACUUACUUGUAGAAAGCUUUCUCUUCCCACCCCUAAAGAGGGGUUACAUACAGUUUUUGUUACCUUUACUUGACAGCAGACCAUGGCUGGCUCUAGGUUUUUUGCCACCCCAAGCAAAAAAUUUCAAGGCCUCCCCCCCCACAAAAAAAGGGGUAGCCGGAAUGCCUCCCCUGGAAUUGUACCUCCCCAAGCACGUGCUUGCUUUGUUGGUGCCUAGAGCCAGUUCUGCAGCAGGCUGGUCUCCAAAAAGAUUCUAUAAACUCUAAAAGCAAUUUUCUUUUGAAGAAAUGUCCUAAAUUGUAGAAAUACUUAGACUUGCCUUACUUCAUGACACACUAUUCAGUGGUUCGUUUUCUUUAGGAGGAGUCUAUUUACAUUCUACUUUAUAACUGCACAUUUGCAAGAAAAAUUACUCAAUGAAAUACAGGGCCUGACUUGAGAAAAGCAGCCUCCAGUUUUUCACUCAGUUUUAUGCCUGCAAUUGAUUGUGAAUGUGAAAGUGCCAGCUUAGAACCAUUUUAAAAAUCAGGCCUAUUACCUUGUGUCACUAGAUAUGGAAAGAAGAGAUUCAGAAGAAUAACCUCAGUAUCAAAAGGGCAUUACAGUUUCAGGGUAUGUGAGAUUUUGUACUAGUAUAAAAUAGUUAAAUAUUAAUGCUUUACAUGGUAACAGUGUAGCAAUGCUUAUCUGAGAACUGUAAAACACAUUACAAACAUUAAUUAUCUCCAAAUAUCUCUGGGGUGAUAGGUAAAUAGAGGUGGGUGAAAAAGUCACAACAAACGUCGCCUCUGUCCAAGAAUAGACAGCAAUUUUCUCUAAUUGUGUUUAUUUGAAAUUAUUUGCUGAAUAAUUUUUGGAGAUGUCUGGUUGCAAGUAUUCAAUAACUGAAAAAGGAGGGAGACACUGGGCUGUUGGUAAGUUUCUGUUCCCUAAAUUGAGCAUCGUAACUCCUAGAAUCAGAUUUCUGGAGCAAAUAUUUACAAUUACAUUUAUGAAAUUUGCUUUCUAUAAAUAUUCUGGAAUGUUGCUUUGUUUGCUUUUUCAGCAAGUGUUCUUGCCACUAAGCUCAUUUUGCUAGAAUUUGUUUGAAAAAUAAACACAAAAGGCGACACACAUGGGCACUGGGAUUACAUUUAUGUUACGCAUCCCUGAUACACAAUUGGGGAUCAGUUACAGCUGCCAAUUACAGCACUUAAUCCUUUAGCUCAAGUUGCAGAGCUCUUGGUUCAAUCCUUGUUACCUCCAGAAGAUGGGGUCCAUCUCACGAAAGGGAGGUUCGUGUGGGAUUCAAACUGCUGUGCCCUCAGACGCUCAGGCAGUCUUCUUCUGUUUAGACGUUUGAGAGAUGUGGGCUAGCCACUUAGGAAUCUGUUACCCCCACGUACACAGUGUGUUUCCUUAAGUAUGCACUUAAGGAAUUUUUUGAUCAGAAAUUUCCCACUGUUAUAGUGACCUGCUGGUAUGAAAUGUCCAUUUGCAAAAAUGUAAGUCGCUGUCUAACUCUGACUUAAUUUUAAUUUUUUUUGUCCACAGUACAAGCGUGGUUUUGUGUUUGAAUAUUUGUAUGGAGAGGAUUGUGUGUACUGAAAAAAGAACCCUCUUUGGAAACAGCACUGAUAGAAGCAGCAUUGUUGUUCUAUGCUUCUCUAUACAGUUUGUAGGGACUCAUGCUGCAAGAGCCUCUCAGAUAAAGCAUAGCGAAGCCCUAUGCAUAGCAAUAAUCACAAUGAGAGACUGUGUCCUGCUAACGUAACUCAUUUGUCAGAGUGAAAUGUCUGGGAAUACAAAGUGAUCAUUAAAAACGAGUGCAUAGGAAAACUGUUUCCUUGUUUGUGGUGUUUAUGAAUACUCUGGCUAUGCACUGGAUAACUAAUGUUUAAUAUUCUUGUACUGUCAGCACAAUGAGACAAAGCAAGAGCUUUGUAGUUAUAUGUGAAAUAACUUCAUUAUUUAAACUUUGACCACAAAUCAAUUUGCCAACCAAUUUGCAUUGUUAUUUCAAUGACCCACCAACCGCUCCAGGGCAGCCAUAAAAAUUAACUGUAUAGGUCCCCAAUUGUCAAAUGAAAGUGCCACAAGUUAGGUGAAAACAAAAAAGAACAAAAAAACCUGCCCAGGUCCUGACCAUUUGUGGUUUCCUUUGACUUCUAUGGGAGUUAUGGGUGCACAACAUCUAUGAAAACAAGGUAAUUUCAUUUAGUACCUCACUUUAGACACCUACAUCUGAAAACUUUAGCUAUCUUUUCCAAAUGCAACCACAUCUGGGUUUAACAGUGCAAUCUCUUAACAGCACAGAAUAUUGUUACAUCAGUUUAGGGAGGGAAGAAUACCUAUCUGAAACUGCAGGGGGAACUCUUUUAUAGGCAGAAUGUAGUUACACUGGUAUUUGGAGAGAAGCCUGGGGCCAACAGGCCUGCCUUUAGCUUAUAUUUUUCAUUUGAAAGAAGACAGCCUCUCCAAAAGCAGAGUACCCCAUACCGCUAUGCAAUAGAGUCAGCACUGACUCUGAGAGGAAGAGUGCCACCUACUGAAUCACUCAAACUACUUUUUAAAGAACACUGGGUUUUAACCAUCCAAGUACAGUUAAACCCACUUUUGAGAGCCGCCAAGCUCGCUCACAGCCUAAGGCGGUAUUAUAUCUAAUUAUAACAUUACAUGGAUGUUCUCUCUUAUAAUCAAGGAGAUCAUCCUCUUAGAUAGUGAGGCUGUUCCAUUUUCUAAUAGAUGCCUCUACAUAGAGCCACAGUGUUUUAGGUACUUCCUUAUCUCUGUUGUGUAUAUAUAGUGGAACCCACUAUUAGUGACCUUAAUUCUAAUAUGUUGAAAGGAGUGAAAGUCCAGAAUUUCUUCAGUUUACUUCUCUGGACUUUGAAUUCUCUAAUAGUGAAAAUCUAUUUCACUCACAGUGAAGUUUAACACUUCUUCCCUUGGAAUGCUGUAUGCAAUGCUGCAUUCCAUCUACCAGAUAUGUAUUAAGUGCUUUUUUUCUUCUGUGCUGUUUGAACAGCAGUGAGAUGGGAAGAGGAGAAAAAUUGCCAUUGCUCAGUGGGAAUGAGGAAUCCCUGCUUUUGAUUUGCUGCAGCUGCUCCAAUCAGGAGCAGGGACAGAAAAGGGGUCCAUCUUGCUCCAGCUGCUUCCUAUUAUGAUGCCUAGGAGCUAGAGUCAUGGAUGAGGACUCCAUUAUGCUACAUACUGUACAAAGACAGAGCAAAGGCAUGGUGCGUGCCCCAAAGAGCUUGCAAUCUAAGGACAAGACGGAUGGGAGCAUAACAGGAAACAAUGAGACAUUCUGGAUCAGCAUGAUAGGCUGUGGUAUCAGUGCCCCAAUAGCUCGCUUGGAAGAAAUCAGUGAGAUGCUGUGCAUAGAGAAAAGUGGAAGUUGGAGGAGGGGAAGGGUUUGAGGAGUGAGUCUAAAUCGCUAACUCAGGAACCAAUUCCGUUAACAAACCCCGUUGCCUACUCUGUCCCCAUAUCUA